ACAUGACACUUGAGGCAAGAAUGAAUGUGUAUGUUGCUUUCGCCGGAUUGGGUAUGGACAAGUAAUGUUGGUUAUGUGGCUAAUGCGAGUUGCUUCUUUUCAGGAAGCAAUGGCUCGUCGUGGGCCUCGAACAAGGUUGAUGCCCGAGGAGCCAAGUGUGGAGCCCGAGCUACCCGGUGCGAGUGGCGACGGAGAGCUUAGGGAGCAAAUGGCCGCGCUCAUUGGAGUAGUGCGGCAACAGGCGGAGUCUGUUCGUAGCCAAGGGGAGCAGAUUCGGCGGCUCCAGGAGACCUUGGAGCGUUAGCAAGCA
rnacentral:lncRNA from 1 species